AGCUGUUUGAAGCUGGUGUACAAACCUGAAAGUAAAAGACGCAAAAAGUACAUUUAAGAACGGGAAGCAUAGAAAUAGCACACAUAGUACAUAUCUACUUAGACUUACUUUCAAUGAGAAUGACUAAACUAUAACUACAAUUUCUAUGUGAAUUUGGUCGGAUCACCCAAAUAGUUAGAUAUUGCAGCUUUAAUUAACUGCCAAUAUGCCAACAUUCCAUUCAAAUAAUGCAGUCAAUCCACAACCAGAUACUGGCUGAUAUCAGUAGAUGAUAGGACUUAAACAAGUUGUAAAUGCAACAAGUACUGAUAUUGUAUCAUAUAAUAACACACAGCUUUCCUGGAAAACAACAUCUGAGACAUUUAUGGCCUGUUUACAUACAUACGGCUAUUUAUCAUGAAAAUUGGUAUAAAACCCAAAUAAACUGUAUUUAUAAUUAUUUGACAUUAUUUUAGGUUGACUAUAAUUCCAUUAUAGAAUUUCUGAUACUGUGCAUUACAUGCCUUACUUCUAUUUUCCUGCAUAAGUAAAAGCAGGAAAUGCUUCACCUAUGCCUCUACUGCCAUUCAUUCUAAUUCGACUGGUUUUUGGAUUUCUCCCUGACCAAGAUGGCUGCCAUUUUCCCCCCAUUAUGGAACUGUUAGGGUUUAUGACAUAGCCCCUCUAGUAAUUUAAUAUGAUCUCUAUUACUCAUUUCUACACAGACUGGCUACUCCUCUCUCUCAGAAGGACUGUGCAUGUUUGAGAUCGACUACAUAGCAGUGGGCUGUGCAAUGCACCAGAACUUCACAACUCCUGGAAGGGUGUUUCUGAAUGUGUAUUUCAGAAUGCCAUAGCAGUCUUCUGAACUGUGCAGCCAAACUGCAAAGGCAACCUCCCCGCUUCUGUUCUGCCUGACAUCUACCUACCUGAUGUCAUGAACCUCUGGUCAGCCUGUCAUCUACGUACCUGGUGUCAUGAACUUCUGGUCAGUCUAUCAUCUACUUACCUGAUGUCAUGGACCACUGUGAUGCCGUUGGAGGCGUCCAGAAGGAAGGAGUCGUGGGUCUGGUCUGAAUCCACCUGGAGGUACUGGAUGUGUCCCAUGUUGACAUCCUCCUGGGAGAAGGAGUGGAUGGUCUCCUCUCUAGUACCCUGGUAGGGAUUGUCCUCUCCCUGGGUUGACCUACGGAGGAACCCGUGGGAUGGAGCCGUCUUCACCUUGUACACUAUCUCAGAGGGGAGGCUGUCCUUAUGGAUCACCUGAAAACAGAGACUUGCCCUCCUCCACCACUACAAUAUGGUUGUAGAGUACAGUGGGGGGCUGCUGGUGGCUCUCCAGGUACACUCUCACCCCAACGCUGGCGUCCAGACGCACCUCUUUAAUGCUCACCGUGAAGUUGAAGGAGUCAGCCAGGUUCAUGCUGUCAUCAUGGUGAUACUGAACGCUGCCCACCUUCAGAUCAUGCUGAGUGAAACGAUCCACCUUCAAAUUGAAUUGAAUAAUACUAAACCGGUCUGCCUUUGAAUUUAAUUGAACUUUUAUUGAUGCCCUAGGUCAAAUUAAAUGAACAACAUCACAACAUGCACAUUACAAACAAUACAAUGCUGGUGCUAUUUCAAUGAUUUUACCUUAACGUUGUUGUGGAACAGAUGCCCGUGUCUCGGCGGGAGGAAGACCUGGCAGACCACCUCCUCAUCGUCUCGGACAUCCAGGUUUGUAAACACACUGAAGUUGGCCGAACCCAAGAUGGCCACAUGGCCUUUCUGGACCAGCAGGCCUGUGUUGUUCUCCACCUGGAUGUAGGGGUCCUGGGCAAUGACCUCCAACAGUGUGGAUGUGUAGUGUUUCCCAUCUGACACGAAUAGGACGAAGCGUCCAAAGCUGACCUAUAGAGUGAAAUCUUUAAUAUUAGUAACUGUAACAAAGCAAUAUUUAAAACUGUGUGUGUGUGUAUGUGUGUGUAUUUUGUGUGUAAUAAAAGUUACUGAUUUCACUCCA